rnacentral:lncRNA from 1 species
AGAAAUUGAAUUGAAUUCUGGGGUCUUACAUGCAAAAACCACAAUUUUAUUAUAAGGCACGCCAUCGUGAGGGACUCCAGAUUAAUUUUGACCACUUGGGGUUCUUUAACGUGUGCCCAAUGCAUGGUACACAGGUGUUCGUGCAUUUCACUCCCAUCGAAAUGUGACCGCCGUGACCAGGAUUUGAUUGCGCGCCCUCAGGCUUAGUAGCACAACACCAUAGCCACUACAUCACCACGGCAGGUGGCUGUGGUUCA